rnacentral:rRNA from 1 species
UGCGUAGGCGGGCUAAUAAGUCAGUGGUGAGAUCUUUCGGCUCAACCGAGAAACUGCCAUUGAUACUGUUAGUCUUGAGUUCGGUUGAGGUAGGCGGAAUGUGUAAUGUAGCGGUGAAAUGCUUAGAUAUUACACAGAACACCAAUUGCGUAGGCAGCUUACUAGACCGACACUGACGCUGAGGCACGAAAGCGUGGGGAGCGAACAGGAUUAGAUACCCUGGUAGUCC